rnacentral:lncRNA from 1 species
AUUAUUUAAUAAAAAAUCUUAUUUUUUUCAUUAUCAAGGUUUUUUUUUUCUUUUUGGUAUGUUUCCACCCACCAUCCUCACAAAAAAAUUGAUCCAUGUUCUAAAUGUGGUGUUUUAUUUUUGGGAUUUCAAAAUGGCAAUAAAGAAGUACAAUACUUUAAAUUUAGAUUCAAAAGAAACUUUUUUGUCUAGAAAUAUCAUUUUCAUGAGACCAUAUUCCCCUUCCAAAGAUCCAAUGCUCACACUCCCAACCAGCCCACCCAUUCUUUCAUAUUCCUCUACACCUUUUACCCAAAACACCAACCUAAUUUUUAGACUUCACAUCACAUUACAAUCCUCCAACUCUAAACACAUAUGUCCCUCUACUUCCUUCUAAUCCAUCCUUAUCUAGAACUCUUCUCAACUCACCUUUAUCAUCACUUGUCUCACCAAGUUCACCAACCACCACCAAACCAUCACCCACACCAUCUCUUACAAAACCAUAUUAUUCAACUCUUAUACAACCACACGAAAAGGAAUCAACCCGCCUUUAAAAUUACAGGACAAAGACAUAACAUACAAUCUCGUCUUUCAGUACCAAUUGAACUGACAAAACAAAACACACAAACAUGUCAUCAGCCCAUUAAACGAACAACAAUGAUACAACUUGACAACCACGAAACAAUCUGACUACAUUAGACACAACCUAGCAACUAACAAAAAUUAGCUCGACCAAAGAACAAAAUUACUUGGCCAAAACCACUCACAGUUCAACAACCAUAAAAAACAACUC